AUCUUCACUACUCACCAAUAAAAUAUUUUCUAAUUAAUAAUCAUAUCAUAUCAUAAGAUGAGGCCAAUUUUUUUUGCAAUAAUAUUCUUGCUUUUGGUUUACGUAGUGUUCCCUCCCUCUUCAACAUUCGCAUAUUCAGUAGUAGAGAAGCGAGGUGAUGAGAGAGGAGUAUACAGAAGAACAUAUAGAUAUGGAAGAAGAGGAGAAGCAUUACAUCCACCUCCUCCUCCUCUUCUUGAUUUUCCUGUUGGUCCAUCAGGAAGUGAUCCAUAUAAAGGAGUAUAUCAUCCAAAAAGACCAUAUGAUCCACGUGGAAGAAAUCCUCCUCCUAAUCCUAUUGCCAAUACUCCGUAUAGAAGAUGCAUUAAUAAUCCAUACACGCGUGGUCCUUAUUGCUCACCACCUAAUAAUUAAGUAUUUAAGCCUUAAUUAAUUAGUUAAUACUUGAGGUCGUCUUAGGAGAAAUAAUAAUAUAAUUCAUAUUAACUAGUGUUUUGUUUUGUAUGUUUUUGUUUUAUUGACCACUACGUAGAAUAAUUAACCGACCUCAUCAUGUAUUGAUUUCAAUUUCUAUUACAUACGUUUUUAUGUGUACUCUUUUGAGUUUGCAAUAGUGCUUCAGAAAUAAAAACCAUAUAUUGGGCUU